rnacentral:rRNA from 1 species
ACAUGCCUACAUCAUAGCGGUAAUGCAUCGGAUCUGAGUAUAAAUCCACGGUUAAGCGUGCUCAGGCUAGAGUAGUAUUGGGAUGGGUGACUUCCCAAGAAGUCCUAUCGUUUUACAUGCC